UAACGGUACGUUUUUGCUUUAUUGUCUUGUCAAAUGUCUCGAGCGACUUUAGAGAACAUAUCUUCUCAUCAUUGCGUCGAUAUCCACUUUGGAGAACAUAUCUUCUCAUCAUUGCGUCGAUAUCCAUCACAGCAACACACGAAAUGGACUACGAAUAAGUCCCAAUUUUUUUUUCAUAUGUAAGUGAAAUGAUCAGAUUAAUGGUUCAAUAAAGUUGGUCCCGAGCAACGUCAUGAGUGACGGCCAAAAUAAAAUAAAACAACUGCAAACGGUGGAUAAAUAAAUAAAAGAACGAUGAAGAAAUGUGAGCGCAUACGAAUUAGAAGUUAUGUGCUAAACGCUUCAUACUGAUGACAUUGUCUGAAGCGUACCAGCUUUACAAGAUGGACUAUUUUCUGAGACCAGACAUUCAAUAAGCUGACACAUAAUAAACCAGAUGUUUAUAUUUCUUUAUUGAAUCUCUUAACCAAAAUAAGAAAAUCAGAUGGAUGCUUUUCUAAAAUGUAUAUUUUUUUUUAUGUGUGCUGCUCUCAAAUUUAAAAAUAAAUGGAUGUUAUCCAGCUA